AGGACGAACGCUGGCGGCGUGCUUAACACAUGCAAGUCGAACGAGGCGCUUGCGCCUAGUGGCGAACGGGUGAGUAACACGUGAGCAACCUGCCCUUGGCUCUGGGAUAGCCUCCGGAAACGGGGAUUAAUACCGGACAUGACCUUCUCCUGCAUGGGGGAGGGUGGAAAGUUUUUCGGCCAGGGAGGGGCUCGCGGCCUAUCAGCUUGUUGGGGGGGUAACGGCCCACCAAGGCGACGACGGGUAGCCGGCCUGAGAGGGCGACCGGCCACACUGGGACUGAGACACGGCCCAGACUCCUACGGGAGGCAGCAGUGGGGAAUAUUGCACAAUGGGGGAAACCCUGAUGCAGCGACGCCGCGUGCGGGAUGAAGGCCUUCGGGUUGUAAACCGCUUUCAGCAGGGGCGAAGUUCGAGACGGUACCUGCAGAAGAAGCGCCGGCUAACUACGUGCCAGCAGCCGC
rnacentral:rRNA from 1 species